rnacentral:lncRNA from 1 species
GGCGGAUGGUGCCACUGUCUUAAAACCUCUGUCUUGCAUGAUGGAAGACUUACCAAGCUCUUCUGUAGUUGAUUAAUGUACCUCCAGAUGCCCUUCUGGUUCCUGCUGGAAGAUGGAAGAGA